rnacentral:rRNA from 1 species
UACGUAGGGUGCAAGCGUUAUUCGGAAUUAUUGGGCGUAAAGAGCUUGUAGGUGGUUUGUUGCGUCUGCUGUGAAAACCCGAGGCUCAACCUCGGGCCUGCAGUGGGUACGGGCAGACUAGAGUGCGGUAGGGGAGAUUGGAAUUCCUGGUGUAGCGGUGGAAUGCGCAGAUAUCAGGAGGAACACCGAUGGCGAAGGCAGAUCUCUGGGCCGUAACUGACGCUGAGGAGCGAAAGCAUGGGGAGCGAACAGG